GUCUUACAGGAUACAGGCCUAGGUUCCUUGCAUUGCUGCUGAAUAUAAUUAAGGCAGAGUAUAAUGAAGGCAAGGCAGUGAAUCUAAUGAAGGCAAGCUAGCCCUAUGGACUACACUGCUCAACCUGAAUAUGUCAAAUCUGGAUCUGAUGCAGCUUUAUUGGAGGAUCUGUACAGAAUAAUAUUUUGCAGUAUGUAUCAGUUGAAGGGCAAAGUAGAGAGUGAUCUUCUCCAAUCUAACUGAGAAUCUGGUGAGAAGAGAGCCUUAUAAUUAUAACAGUCCUUUUACACCGUAAAAAAAAAUCUGUUCCAGCAGAGGGAGUCAGAAUGCUUUUACGUUUUCUUCCUCUGCAUUUAUAGUAGAGAGGUGCCCCUUGUAGAGAUAUCCAAUACCUGGGUAUCUCCAAAAUUAGCAGAUUUUAGAAUUUCCCAAGUAUGCUGUGCAUUCUGGGGCAUCAUCAAGAAUGGUUCAAAGCAUGACUAAAUGAAAAAAAAGAAGCCAUGAGUCUGGCAAUGACACUUCUGCUACAUGUGUGAGUAACUUCCUCCACCACACCCAAGAUUCCUCCUAUUGGAAGAAGAGAGUAGGAUAUGGAACCCAACCAUGAAUAUUCCUCCAACUGGAUGAACUGCUUCAAAGCCUUUGAGAGAGAGGCCAGUUCUUGGGAGAUUAAUUGGUGAUAAACAGGAGAUUCCAAUGAUGUAAAGAUAGGCACACAAAAUGGAGGCACUCAAACUUAGAGGCCACUUUUGAAAAUUUGAGCCAUAACUUCUCUGGGUGUUAGUUUAUUCUUCUCUAACAUAGCUCAGUAAAUCAUAAAGUGCCAUGAAAAAUGGGCCUGGAUACAUGCAAAUAAUUAGUAAUUAAUAUUUAUAACUAUUUUUCAUGGGAUAAUUCUUCAUCCCUGAUGACAUCGAGAUUUAAUGUAAGCCAAAUUAAUAAAUUAUAUAUUUUUUCUUUCAUGAUUCCAAUUAAGUUUAACAUUUAUCCAGUACCAUACCAAACAUGUAUGUAACUGAAGGGAUGGAUGAAAGGGUAAGAUGAAACAUAGUGGGAGACUAGACCCACUACAUGAAAUAAGAAAAACAGGAUGUUAAAAGUACAGAUUUUGUAAGAGAAAGAAAGAAAAAAACUAGUAUCAACAGGUAAGAAAUCAGGAGAAUAAAAUACAUGAAGUUCUGAGAGUGCAUGAAAAUCGUGAAAUGUUAAUUGCUCAUGGCUAAGAAUAGAAGAGGAGAAGUGAACAGGAAAGAAGCAGCAGGCAGGAAAAGAAAUGAAUAACAAUAGGAAUAUUAAUAGUUAGUCAGAAAUGGUCUAUGAAUUGUGGCUGUUCAUCAUCCCCUUAAUAAGGAGGUAUGUCUCAUAUUCGAAAGGUGGUGUUGAACUUAGGUGAAAUAGAAUUGUUUACCAAUAAAGUGAAUGUGCAGUGUAUCUUUGUAUUUACAUUAGUUGCUGUAAUUUGUGCUGCUUUUUUGGUUAAAUACUGUUGCAGAUCUCAUACUGGCAAUUCAUUAAAAAUGAUGGAAGAGGGAAGUAUUACUAAAGUAUCUUUCCCAAAUAACAAAGCAGCAGGUGAGGAUAAUCCAACCAUC